GUAUUGGUGGUUCAGUGGCAGGAUUCUCCCCUUCCACAGGGGAGACCAGGGUUUGAAUCCCAGCCACUGCA
rnacentral:tRNA from 1 species